rnacentral:sRNA from 1 species
CUGCCAUUGCCCCAUUAAAGGCGUUCAGAUGAACCGGUUCAGGGUCAGUCGACCAAGUCGUCGUCGUCGUCGUCGUCGUCGUCGUCGUCGUCGUCGUCGCCUUCCGUCCUGUUGUCCAUGGACAACAACUUUCAAGUUCAGUUGGUGGAUUUGGCAAGGGCAGGAACUGGGCCAAGGUCGGCGGGCAAGCCAGAAUAAUGCCGCACACAGAAUACCAGAAUACCAGGUGUGGUCAGGAGGGUGUCGCGCUGCAUUGUCACGAGUUAGCUGCUGCCGCUGCUGCUGGGCACGAGCAUGACGUCAUGGGGGCAAAUUUUGAGCAGCAUUUUGUGUGGCGCGUGUGAAACGAAGCGCGGCAAAGACAAGUUUGGGGGUUUUACCCAUUCACCCAUUCGCAUUCGGAUGCCAAGAAAAAUUGACAACAACAACUACAGCAACAGCAAUAAAUCGAAA